rnacentral:rRNA from 1 species
GGCCUUGACAUACUAAGAACUUUCAGAGAUGGAUUGGUGCCUUCGGGAACUUAGAUACAGGUGCUGCAUGGCUGUCGUCAGCUCGUGUCGUGAGAUGUUGGGUUAAGUCCCGNAACGAGCGCAACCCUUUUCCUUAUUUGCCAGCGGGUCAUGCCGGGAACUUUAAGGAUACUGCCAGUGACAAACUGGAGGAAGGCGGGGACGACGUCAAGUCAUCAUGGCCCUUACGGCCAGGGCUACACACGUGCUACAAUGGUCGGUACAAAGGGUUGCUACCUCGCGAGAGGAUGCUAAUCUCAAAAAGCCGAUCGUAGUCCGGAUCGCAGUCUGCAACUCGACUGCGUGAAGUCGGAAUCGCUAGUAAUCGCGGAUCAGAAUGCCGCGGUGAAUACGUUCCCGGGCCUUGUACACACCGCCCGUCACACCAUGGGAGUUUGUUGCACCAGAAGUAGGUAGUCUAACCGCAAGGAGGACGCUUACCACGGUGUGGCCGAUGACUGGGGUGAAGUCGUAACAAGGUAGGCGUAGAUGA